ACACGGGGAUGCUCAGUACGGCGAGUGAAGCGGCAAAAGCUCAAAUUUGAAAUCUGGCACUUUCAGUGUCCGAGUUGUAAUUUGUAGAAGUAGUUUUGGGGCUGGUCCUUGUCUAUGUUCCUUGGAACAGGACGUCAUAGAGGGUGAGAAUCCCGUGUGGCGAGGAUCCCAGUUCUUUGUAAAACGCUUUCGAAGAGUCGAGUUGUUUGGGAAUGCAGCUCUAAGUGGGUGGUAAAUUCCAUCUAAAGCUAAAUAUUGGCGAGAGACCGAUAGCGAACAAGUACAGUGAUGGAAAGAUGAAAAGAACUUUGAAAAGAGAGUGAAAAAGUACGUGAAAUUGUUGAAAGGGAAGGGCAUUUGAUCAGACAUGGUGUUUGGACGCCCUGUGCUCCUUGUGGGUGCAGGACACGCUUUUCACUGGGCCAACAUCGGUUUUGGCAGCAGGAUAAAUCGUUAGGAACGUAGCUGCCCUCGGGUAGUGUUACAGCCUAGCGGAAUACUGCUAGCCGGGACUGAGGACUGCGUCUUUUGACAAGGAUGUUGGCAUAAUGGUUAAAUGCCGCCCGUCUUGAACCACGGACCA
rnacentral:rRNA from 1 species